UACGAAGGGGGCUAGCGUUGCUCGGAAUCACUGGGCGUAAAGGGCGCGUAGGCGGCCCUCUAAGUCGAACGUGAAAUCCCCGGGCUCAACCCGGGAACUGCGUCCGAUACUGGAGGGCUCGAAUCCGGGAGAGGGAUGUGGAAUUCCAGGUGUAGCGGUGAAAUGCGUAGAUAUCUGGAGGAACACCGGUGGCGAAGGCGGCAUCCUGGACCGGUAUUGACGCUGAGGCGCGAAAGCCAGGGGAGCAAACGGG
rnacentral:rRNA from 1 species